rnacentral:rRNA from 1 species
AUUGAACGCUGGCGGCAGGCCUAACACAUGCAAGUCGAACGGAGCGGCGGACGGGUGAGUAAUGCCUAGGAAUAUGCCUAGUAGCGGGGGAUAACGACCCGAAACGGGAGCUAAUACCGCAUACUAUCAGAUGAGCCUAGGUCGGAUUAGCUAGUUGGUGGGGUAAAGGCUUACCAAGGCGACGAUCCGUAACUGGUCUGAGAGGAUGAACAGUCACACUGUAACUGAUACACGGUCCAGACUCCUACGGGAGGCAGCAGUGGGGAAUAUUGGACAAGGGGCGAAACCCUGAUCCAGCCAUGCCGCGUGUGUGAUGAAGGUCUUCGGGUUGUAAAGCACUUUUGGUAGGGAGGCGUUACCAGCAGAAUAAGCACCGGCUAACUUCGUGCCAGCAGCCGCGGUAAUUC